AGCCAGAAGCAGGUGUGAAUGAUUUAGUGUUAACAUGGCCGUAACCAAGCCAAAGCUUAACGGCGGCGCUCCUGUCGAUCCGGCCAAGACGUCUAUGGUUCUCCGCCAGCUACUACCUCUCUCUUUCCCUCCACCGAAUAAAAGCCUGGCCUAAAGCCGAAGCUGUGGUCUGCCUGCAGUUGCUGCCUCUGUCUCUAUCUCUGCCUCAGUUGCUGGCUCUGUCGCUGCCGCUGCCUCGGCCAACGUCGACUGAAUGGCAACGGCAACGGUUUUCGAUGGUUGGAGCGUUCAUCAUUUUGCCAUUUCACGUUCAGCUGGCAGCGAAAUCGAAAGUGACUGCUCCCCACACACAAGAAGCCAAGUUAGCAAGUCACCAAGGAGGCCCCCCUUGCAUUCUGAUGCAGGCAAGUUGACUUUCAAAAAGUGUCAAUAAAAUUUAUGUAAAAAAGCAAAUAAACGAAAAGUUGAUAAAACCGACCAAAG